rnacentral:lncRNA from 1 species
AAGCAAAGAUGAAGUGGAAGGUCCCUCUCUACGUAGGGUUUCCCCCUGCUAGGCGAUUUAACCAUGUGACUUUCAUCUUGCACAGCCACAUGUAUGUGUUUGGCGGCAAAAAUGAGGAACAUGAAUUCAAUGACUUGAAAGUGAUGAAAUUAAUCAACCCAUCGGAAAGACAACCAGUGAUGAAAGAGAUCCUCUCUGAAUUUGGCCUCCAAGGAGUUAGUAAUGGGUUUGCUGCAACAAAGGUUCCUAACGUGAAGUACGAACUGAGUAAAUCAUCAAUAAGCCUGACUUAUGAGAGAAGUGAUGUUACAGAGCUCACAGGACACACUGCGAUUCGUGAUGAGGCACUGGAUAUGAUCCACAAAGCAUUUGCCAUGUUGGAUGAGGAGGUCCAAAAACUGAACAGAGAAAAGGCUGAGGUUGCUCAGGCUGCAGAGGCCCUUCAAUAUGAAAAGGAGGCCUACAGGAUCCAGCACCAAAAACAGGAACAGGGGCUUCAGGAAAUGCUGGAUAAACACCGGGCCCAGAAUGAGGCAUGGCUGCGAGCUCGAGCAGAGGAAAAUGACAAGGAGAGGAAGGAGCUCUGUAAACUGCGAGAAGAAGUGUUGCACGAGCAAGAGAAACUCAAAGAAGAGCAGAGCAACAUCCAAAAACGCAGCGAGCACUUGCUGUCUAUCAUGCAACAGUUCAAGGGCAUGUGACCGGCAGUCUUCAGGGAGAAAUAGACUUUUCACAUUUAUUUUGUCUAUUUACACAUUUGAAUGAUAACAUUUUAUUAUUUCUAUAUGUUUUAAAAUAUAUAUGAUACCAACAGCAACCACACAUUUUGUGACAGUUCUUUGUGCUUAAGUAAUUUAAGAUAUGAUUUGGGCCAUUUCAGUUAAGCAUGACUGAGCAACAUGACAGUCUAACGGCUAUUGCACCUUGCAGUAAUCUAUUAGUAGCAAAAAUGAGUGGCAUUGCACGGUACAAUAUUAAUUUUUUGGACAUUGGUGCCUUUGUGGUCCCAUUGCAUUUGUUGUUGUCAGUACAUGAAAGGCAGCCUGAUAUAAGUAUUAAUGCUAGCUCUUUGUAGCAAUCUUACUUUUGUAAUCGACCACUCUGUAGUUGGAGAUACAGACUCUGUCGGUUACUUGGAGAAUGUGUAACCUUGUUAAUCCUCCAAGAUGGAAAAGUAACCAGUAUUUUGUGCAUCCAGUGUGAAGUUCCUCUGCUGGUGAAUCAUGAAGUCUAGUCUAGUCUUCAAUGAAAUAAGCUUUUUUAGGAGAGACUUGUAACAUAAAAUACUGUUACAAUGUAUUUUACACAGUAUUUUACAAUGUAUUUAAAUAACCAUGUGUGUGCUACAUCAUGUUGCUAGGCUACAAAAUGUUGUGAGGUGUUGGGGUAGCAAAGCUUCCACGUACUGCAGGAGCGAAUGCCAUAUGAGUUAAGACCGUUUUCAUUCAUAAUGUUCUAUUCUGAAAUAAUGUGAUCCAACUCUUCCCUUUGUGUCUGGAGUUACUGUAUGUUAUCAUUUUGUCUGUGUUUUAUUUUAGAUUAGAUUAGAUUAGAUUCAACUUUAUUGUCAUUGCACAGAGUACAAGUACUGAGGCAACGAAAUGCAGUUAGCAUCUAACCAGAAGUGCAAAGCAGAAGAGUGCAGAGUAUGUGCAAAUUAUAAUAUAAAUAUAGAUAAAUAGGGUAUAUACAGUAUGACAUACGAUAUAAGUGGUAUGAGCAUAAGAACAUGAGCAGCAAUAAUGGUGAUUAGUGCAGAUGUGAUAUAUGUAGAUAUAUGUAAAGUACAGGUGAAGGUGGCAGUAGAAGUUAUAAAGUUGUAAAUGAGGUACGAGACAUGAUAAGAUAUAAGUACGAUGAAUAUGGAUAUUUUAAAUUUAAAAUAAAUAGAUAUAUACAAUGAACA